CGUUGAAUUGUGGGUUGUGUUUAGUUUAUAUACAGAAAGAUGGAGCUACGCUAUUGGUUGGUGCAUGGUAACGUGAAAAACAACAGAAUUAAAUUAGUUGAAUAAAAAGCGUCCGUUGAUACCGUGAGGAUUAAGAGUGUCGAUUUGAAAAAUAAAUUUUUGUUCUAGAGGUUUGCGGCUUUCCGUGCUUCCUUGAUACAGGGAAAGGCCGCAGACUGCCAUAUGUUGCUUAGAAUGAUUGGGGAGAUUAAAGUGUCUCGCGACCAGUUUAGAUGCGUUUUUGUCGUCUUUCUGUACAUCACGAAGCUGUUCUCGGAAUCGGUCGCCUAGUCGUCUCCCUGAGUGCAAGUUAUGCAGUAGAUGACAUUGGCUGAGGUACAGGUGAAAUUAUCACUGAUCACGAUGGAUCGCUUGGGUCCCGAUAUUUUCUCAACGUUGCGAAUGAAAGGACGUGCUUUGCAUCGUGCGUGUGCGCAUUUAAAAGUUCCGGGUUGAUCACGUUUUUGGAAUGCACUUCUGACUAAAAAGUUACCUAUGUUUUUGUUGCGUUUGAAUGAAAUUAAUGGAGGUUGCGAAAAGAUUCUACCAGUAUCGGGAUCAUUUUGAAGUAAUUUAAAGUUUUUUAGAAUGAUGGAUUUUACUGCGUGGUUGUGAAGGUGAAAUGUGAGGGUGACUUACACUAGUGCGAAAUUUUGUAGUUGUAGUACGAUGGAGGCCUAGGUGAUGGCUGGUCUGUUGACCUCUGGGUGAAUCAAUGCAAGUUCGAACAUGGGCCUGAGAAAGACAUGCACUUGACUUUGACGUCCAGAACAGUUCCUCUCUCUCCGCCAAGGACUUCAUUAAUGCGUGCCAAUGAACUUUUAGUGAAACGUGACAAAAUAUGGGAGGUUUAGAACUCCUUUCAAGGCUAACAAUUCUUUUGUGAUACUGAGAAACACAUGUAGAACAAAGCUUGUAGUCAUUUUCUUUGUUGUUGUUAUGAGCACAAAACGUUUUGGUGAACCCUUUACUUGGUACAUGUGAUGUUUUAAUCUACAGGAUCAGUUUUGUUGUCGAUUUUAAGUGAUGAGGCGUGUAACAAGACAGGUCUUCCGUCGGUUUCUGAUCUUCUUGCUAAUCCGUUUUUUACAGCAAUAGACCUCCCUUCCAAUGAUAAGCCUCAGCUUAAGAUCUCAAGUAAAUUAAAAGAAGCUAUUAAAACAGCUAAAGAACGCGCGGAGACCAAACUGAAGGAGGAUCAGAAAAUGCUGCGGCAGUUCCGUAGAGCAUCGAAAGCGCAUGCCCAUCAUAUGUCAGAGGAAGAAAAGAAGAAGAGGAAAAAGUCGGCAAAGAAGUCAAGUCAAUGAGCUGGUUUUGCGUGCCGGAAAGAGGAGAAAAAGGCCUGAAAUGUUUCGCCCCUAACACAGACAACAAAGUUUGCUUAUCUACAAGGCCUGACAAAGCUGUAUUGGCUUCGUUUGACGAGAACGUGUAAUAUAGCGUCCUGCAAUUGAUACAAAGUAUCGUGACUGCAUUGCUAGUGAUCACAAACAGGGAAUUUUUUUUUCUCCGCUGAGAAAUAAGUUAUAUCCUUAUGCAAACCUGCCCUAUUAUUUUGGGACUGGUUUGGUCUCCAUUUUAACUUUAACGCUCGUCAAUGUUGUUCAUGUAAUGUAUCAAACACGAGAAAUGGUGUUUGGCCACUUUUCGAAGCACGGAAAAGAGAAUUGAAAAUACGACGCGUGGCGGACAAACUUUGAGGUGUUUUGAAAUGUGGUCAAUGUCUGUCCUUUUGUUGGCGUUUAAUUGCAUCAGAACAUUGUAAAAGUACGUGUAGCUGUGCAUAUGUGGUGUGUUCAGUGUGUUAGAAUGUAAUUCAAAAAGCUUUAGUGCAAUGUGAAUUAAAUCGUAUAUGUUCAUUAUUGAUGGACGAAUACAUGCGAAAAUUUAUUCUUUAUAAUUUUGUAAUAAUUUAAGAAACGCUUUCAGAGAAAUUCAAAUCAAACAUUUACUGUAAGUUAUUUUUUGCCGCAAAGGACACAUUUAAAAUUAAUUCAAAUAUGAAGUGCCUCCCAGCUUAUUAAAUAUAUACAGAUCUUCAUAGUAACUAUUGAGUAGUAAAAGGCACUUACAAAGAAACGUGAAAAUAAAAGAAAAAUGCCAAGCUUCAACACAAUUCAAACCAAUGAAAUUGUUAACUAUGAUCACACAUGGUUGAAGAGAGUAUGAUAUAAGAGAGUAAUUCUCCCAUACACGAGCCUCUUCAAAGGACAGUUUUUGAAAUCUGUUUAUAAACAAGGGACAUUUUAUAAUAAAACCCCUUGAUUGGUUCAA